rnacentral:rRNA from 1 species
GGGGAAUUUUCCGCAAUGGGCGCAGGCCUGACGGAGCAAUACCGCGUGCGGGAGGAAGGCCUUUGGGUCGUAAACCGCUUUUAACAGGGAAGAAGAUCUGACGGUACCUGUUGAAUAAGCCUCGGCUAACUCCGUGCCAGCAGCCGCGGUAAGACGGAGGAGGCAAGCGUUAUCCGGAAUUAUUGGGCGUAAAGCGUCCGCAGGUGGCCUAUCAAGUCUGUUGUUAAAGCCCAGGGCUCAACUCUGGAUCAGCAAUGGAAACUGAAAGGCUAGAGUACGGUAGGGGUAGAGGGAAUUCCCAGUGUAGCGGUGAAAUGCGUAGAUAUUGGGAAGAACACCAGUGGCGAAGGCGCUCUGCUGGGCCGUAACUGACACUCAUGGACGAAAGCUAGGGGAGCGAAAGGGAUUAGAUACCCCAGUAGUC